GCCGCUGGCUCUUUCUCCCCAGGGCAGCCGGGGCGAACCCCGUCGCCGAGCCCGGGCAGGGCUCCCCGUUACCUGGUCUUGGGCAUCGCUGCUCGGGGCCCGGGACCGGGCCCGGCUCCCCGUCGCCAUGGGGACCGCGCAGGGCACGCUGGGAGCCGUAGUUCCUCGGCGGGGCGGAAAGGGGCGGAGGCCGCUCCCAUAGGGGCCGUGGCGCGGCUCGCCCCGCCUCCCGGCGGCGGUACUGGGGCGGGCGCUGCCCGCGCUGCUCUCGCCUCAGCUCUGGCCGCUGCCGGGAGCCUGCGGGCUCUGCCGCAUCGGGGCACGGGGCUGCUGCGCCCCUGAGAAUGUUUCUGAUAUCUUGGUAUAUGAAGCCAGUGCUGAUCUGUAGUCAGCAGUUAGAGGUGGUGAAAACCCUGGACAAAGCUGCUCUUGCUCUGCCAAAGAAAGCAAAACUAAGCCUAGGUUCUGCAAGCCUGGAGCAUGGAAAGUUCUUCUGUAUCAGUCCCAGAGCUUGCUGCUCAUUUGACAGCUCCCAUUGUCUUUAUCGCUGCUGAAAAUCAGGAGGUAAGAAAGGUCUAAUUUCCUACCUGGGCUUUAGUCAUGGAUUAGGUAGCACAGUAUAAAUUGUUUUGCUGGAUGACUCAAGGUUAAGACUGAGAUGUGGAUCACUCAUAAGGCUCAGGCUGGAUGGGGAAGGCAGAACAGAUUAUCUGCCUGGACUCUGAAAUGUUCAGGUUUGUUGUUUUACGUUGUGUGGGAUCCUCUAAGUAGCUCUGGAGCUAGAUUAACAUGGAGCAAGUUCCCCUGAGAUUUGCGUAGCCGUGUUUGGAAGCUGAGCUGUUGAAGUACG